rnacentral:rRNA from 1 species
CCUACGGGGGGCAGCAGUGGGGAAUAUUGCACAAUGGGCGCAAGCCUGAUGCAGCCAUGCCGCGUGUGUGAAGAAGGCCUUCGGGUUGUAAAGCACUUUCAGCGGGGAGGAAGGCGUUAAGGUUAAUAACCUUGUCGAUUGACGUUACCCGCAGAAGAAGCACCGGCUAACUCCGUGCCAGCAGCCGCGGUAAUACGGAGGGUGCAAGCGUUAAUCGGAAUUACUGGGCGUAAAGCGCACGCAGGCGGUCUGUCAAGUCGGAUGUGAAAUCCCCGGGCUCAACCUGGGAACUGCAUUCGAAACUGGCAGGCUAGAGUCUUGUAGAGGGGGGUAGAAUUCCAGGUGUAGCGGUGAAAUGCGUAGAGAUCUGGAGGAAUACCGGUAGCGAAGGCGGCCCCCUGGACAAAGACUGACGCUCAGGUGCGAAAGCGUGGGGAGCAAACAGGAUUAGAUACCCGUGUAGUC